GACGAACGCUGGCGGCGUGCCUAAUACAUGCAAGUCGAGCGAAGAUUUUCUGGUGCUUGCCCUAGAAAAACUUAGCGGCGAACGUGUGAGUAACACGUAAAAAACCUGCCUCAUAGACUGGGACAACUAUUGAAAACGAUAGCUAAUAGCGGAUAACAGUAUUUCUCGCAUGUGAGAUAUGUAAAAGUUUUUUAUGCUAACACUAUGAUAUAGCUUUGCGGUGCAUUAGCUAGUUGGUGGGGUAAAGGCACACCAAGGCGACGAUGCAUAGCCGACCUGAGAGGGUGAUCGGCCACACUGGAACUGAGACACGGCCCAGACUCCUACGGGAGGCAGCAGUAGGGAAUCUUCCGCAAUGGGCGAAAGCCUGACGGAGCAACGCCGCGUGAGUGAAGAAGGUCUUCGGUUCGUAAAGCUCUGUUGUUAGGGAAGAACGAAUAUGUAGGAACUAUAGAUCUAAGAGACGGUACCUAACCAGAAAGCCACGGCUAACUACGUG
rnacentral:rRNA from 1 species